CAAAGGCUUGGUCCUGACUUUACUGUCAACUUUAGCUAUAUUUACACAUGCAAGUAUCCGCACCCCUGUGAGAAUGCCCCACAGUUCUCUGCCCGAAAACAAGGAGCUGGUAUCAGGCACACUCGACUUAGCCCAUGACGCCUUGCUUAGCCACACCCCCAAGGGAGUUCAGCAGUGAUAAACCUUAAGCCAUGAGUGAAAACUUGACUUAGUUAAAGCUAAGAGGGCCGGUAAAACUCGUGCCAGCCACCGCGGUUAUACGGGUGGCCCAAGUUGACAGACGCCGGCGUAAAGCGUGGUUAGGAGACACUUAAACUAAAGCCGAACGCCCUCAAAGCAGUUAUACGCAUCCGAAGGUAUGAAGCCCCACCACGAAAGUGGCUUUAUAAGAUCCGACUCCACGAAAGCUAUUAAACAAACUGGGAUUAGAUACCCCACUAUGCUUAGCCGUAAACAUUGAUAGAAUAAUACACAACCUAUCCGCCCGGGUACUACGAGCAUUAGCUUAAAACCCAAAGGACCUGGCGGUACUUUAGACCCCCCUAGAGGAGCCUGUUCUAUAACCGAUGGUCCCCGUUGAACCUCACCCUCUCUUGUUUUUCCCGCCUAUAUACCGCCGUCGUCGUUUACCCUGUGAAGGGCUCACAGUGAACAAAAUUGGCAUCGCCCAAAACGUCAGGUCGAGGUGUAGCAUAUGAGAGGGGAAGAAAUGGGCUACAUUCGCUGGGCCAGCGAAUACGAAUGAUGGAAUGAAAAUGUUCAUCUGAAGGAGGAUUUAGCAGUAAGCGAAGGACAGAGUAUUUCGCUGAAGUAGGCUCUAAAGUGCGUACACAUCGCCCGUCACUCUCCCCAAGCUUGUUUAUCCUGUAAUUAAACCGCUACCGCUGCAUAAGGGGAGGCAAGUCGUAACAUAGUAAGUGCACCGGAAGGUGCGCUUGGAAAAAU
rnacentral:ncRNA from 1 species